UACGGAGGAUCCGAGCGUUAUCCGGAUUUAUUGGGUUUAAAGGGAGCGUAGGCGGGUUGUUAAGUCAGUUGUGAAAGUUUGCGGCUCAACCGUAAAAUUGCAGUUGAUACUGGCAUCCUUGAGUACAGUAGAGGUAGGCGGAAUUCGUGGUGUAGCGGUGAAAUGCUUAGAUAUCACGAAGAACUCCGAUUGCGAAGGCAGCCUGCCAAGCCAUGACUGACGCUGAUGCACGAAAGCGGUGGGAUCAA
rnacentral:rRNA from 1 species